AUGGAAGCUACUGCCAGUCCAACGUUGACCAAUGGGGGAAGGACUGGCGUCUGGUCUAAGGAGGUGGAAACCACCUACAGGUCAUGUUUAAGGAUCAGGCAUGGUACCAGUAGAGGCCGGCUUACAUUCCGUUACCUGCGGAUGUUGGCAUCACUUGGGCUCCGAGUUCCCCGGAAAUCAUCCUCCCACCCCGACGACUGAUUUAGGACAUAUAUGCGUCUGCACUGUGAGGGGAACGCGCAUCAGUAAGAUAUUGGUGUUAGAGUUGGUCAAUCUGACUUACUGCUGGAAUUAAACGCACAAGAGAGCCAGGGCUUUCCUCUUGUGCUGUGUACUCUGGUUACAUAGAAAGUUAACCGAGACAAAAUUAUGUGAACAUUUAAGAGCUUUCUUUAUGUGAUAGACUUUGAAGGACUAAAUGAUUGGAAGGCAUCCCAGCACAACCAUUUAAAGGUAGAGUCAUCUUGCUCAGUCCCUCUGCCUGUGACUAGCAUUCUCCUGCAUGACAGUGAUGAACUUCUCCCGGAACUAGUUCUGUAGGAAAGAUGGUAAUGUAAAGCCAGAGGAUAUUCUCAUGUGUUCCUGGAUUCACUACGGACUUCUAGACCUCCGGGCCUGCAACGAUUCCUGAAGAUUUUCUCUGAUCUGUACAGUGAUCUGCUAGACCUGUUUGAGAUCACUAACAUAAAAGACUGUCUGGAGCUGGAGAGAUGGUUCAGAGGUUAAGAGCACUGGCUACUCUUCCAGAGGCCCUGAGUUCAAAUCCCAGCAAACACAUGGUGGCUCACAACCAUCUGUAAUGAG
ensembl:lncRNA